UGCAUUUGUAGCCUAUGAGGAUGAGAACCUCCGGGGGGAGGGAGGUUCGACUCGAGCGAAGCGAGAGAACGUUGCGCCAGCAACGGCCCGCAGGGCGAGCCACGAAGUGGCGAGUAAUCCUCUAUCACCGACCA
rnacentral:sRNA from 2 species